CUACGGGCGGCAGCAGUGGGGGAUAUUGCACAAUGGGGGAAACCCUGAUGCAGCAACGCCGCGUGAAGGAAGACGGAUUUCGGUCUGUAAACUUCUAUCAGCAGGGAUGAAAAUGACAGUACCUGACUAAGAAGCCCCGGCUAACUACGUGCCAGCAGCCGCGGUAAUACAUAGGGGGCAAGCGUUAUCCGGAUUUACUGGGUGUAAAGGGUACGUAGGCGGUUUGUUAAGUCAGAUGUGAAAGCCCGGAGCUCAACUCCGGGACUGCAUUUGAAACUGGCGAACUAGAGUACAGGAGAGGAAAGCGGAAUUCCUAGUGUAGCGGUGAAAUGCGUAGAUAUUAGGAAGAACACCAGUGGCGAAGGCGGCUUUCUGGACUGUAACUGACGCUGAGGUACGAAAGCGUGGGGAGCGAACAGGAUUAGAUACCCGCGUAGUC
rnacentral:rRNA from 1 species